GUCAGCAGCCAUUGUAAGCGGAUGCUUUUUCUGCUCCGUAGAAGAAAAAGUGAUUUCGUGCGGUAUACCAUUGCUCACUGCGACGGAACGUGCUAACAAGAGCGAACCCGACUCGAAAGAGCGGUCACAGCCGAAGGAAUAAACAUUCCGGAGAAUAUUCAAGGGCUACCGUGUCGAAGCGAAGCCGAUUCCAGAUUAAGACGCGACCGCAAGAUAGGAAACCUGUGUUCACAAGUACAGCAAUCACGAAUUUCAAUAAUCGAGAUAGAGUACAUGCAACAGAUUCCCCUAAAAGGGGUUUUAAUGCGCAGCGGCAGACCACGAUCCAAGAGCCAAACGGAACACUUCAGGUUGAGCUGCAACGGCCAGAGAAGAACGGCGUGGACAACAAUCAACUGGCGCUGGA